CAGUAGCCGCGGUAAUACGUAGGUGGCAAGCGUUGUCCGGAAUUAUUGGGCGUAAAGGGCUCGCAGGCGGUUUCUUAAGUCUGAUGUGAAAGCCCCCGGCUCAACCGGGGAGGGUCAUUGGAAACUGGGAAACUUGAGUGCAGAAGAGGAGAGUGGAAUUCCACGUGUAGCGGUGAAAUGCGUAGAGAUGUGGAGGAACACCAGUGGCGAAGGCGACUCUCUGGUCUGUAACUGAUGCUGAGGAGCGAAAGCGUGGGGAGCGAACAGGAUUAGAUACCCCUGUAGUCCCUGUCUCUUAUAA
rnacentral:rRNA from 1 species